UUGAAAACAAUAAAUUGGCUAAUCACUGCUCAUAAGCCAACGAGUAUGUAAAUCAGAUAUAUUUUUCUGGCUGUUUUGCCAGUGUUAGCAUAGAAACGGGGAAGAGAUCAAGUGGAAAAAAUAAAGGGGUGUAGACCUUAUUAUCCCAGUGCCUGUAGAGAGGGUAUGAGUGGGUGGAGAUAGAGUCAUACUUAAGUCAGACAUUUCUUGAGCAAGAAAGUCACAGACUAUUACCCAUCGAGUAGCUCACAGCUGCUAGCCCGAAUUAAUACUUGCCACUUCCUCAUGAUGGAAAAGCCUGGCAGAGUGCCUGGGGACCCUGGUUCUGGUGACAUUUGGCUGUGGCUCGGUGGCCCAGAUCCGUCUCAGCUGAGGUUCCCACGGCGCCUUCCUCACGUCUACCAGGCCUUUGGGUUCGCCAUCACGUUUGGGAUCCUCGUCAGUGGACAGCAGUCCGAUGUGCUGUGGGACUACGGCCAGGGGACUCUGUCUGUGGACAGGACCAGCGCCAUGGUUGGGAUCUUCGCUACAUAACACUCCCCCAUCUCAGUCUGCUCAACGGAUUGUUCGACCAGUAUACUGCAGUUAAAUGGAUGACCUCACAGACGCUGGAUGGAAGUAAUGUCUGCCCCAGUCUACUGGUCCAGGGGAAGGCUCCACCCCUGCUAGUCCUGGCAGGAUAUGCCGAUUUCACACUUCGUCCUGGAUCCGUGAUGGGGCUUACGCCAAAGACUUAUCAUGCAAAAUAUUCUCUCUCAUGUUAUCAUUCAAAAUAUAACUUUAUUUGCAUUUAUCUGUGAAUGAGUCUUCAUGGGAAAAUUUGUAUUGUCAUUCAUAAAACUCAAACUUUAUGCACUUGUAUAGCAAAUCACCACAACGGACAAUGUGUCAAAUCAUGAGAACUUCCAACUAAAAAGAGGAAGAACACACAGCAGACUUCACUCCAACUGAACUUUAUUUAUAUAAACCAGUGCUGGUGUCUUUCCUGUAAAAUAAUGAUACAAAGAAUAUGAUUAAAUGUAAUAAACAAACUGUAUUAAUGAACAGACAUAAUUCUAAAUGUGUACAAUAAA